rnacentral:rRNA from 1 species
UACGAAGGGGGCUAGCGUUGUUCGGAAUUACUGGGCGUAAAGGGCGCGUAGGCGGUUGUUUAAGUCUGUCGUGAAAUCCCCGGGCUCAACCUGGGAAUGGCGAUGGAUACUGGGCAGCUAGAGUGUGUCAGAGGAUGGUGGAAUUCCCGGUUUAGCGGUGAAAUGCGUAGAGAUCGGGAGGAACAUCAGUGGCGAAGGCGGCCAUCUGGGACAACACUGACGCUGAAGCACGAAAGCGUGGGGAGCAAACAGG